AUGAAGCAGCAUGCUCCAGACCAUAUGACUAAGGAGGAAGACAUUUCAACACUGUUUAAAUGGAAUUUGUCUGCGGUCUAAAGUUCCUAUAGAGACAGGCUUAAAAUGUCUGAAGUCAAUGGCUCAUGUUUAACCUCUUGCGAGAGAACUCACUGUCAUCGAUGAAUCAUUAGAAGCCCACAGAGCCAGCCCGCACUUGGGAAAUGUCUGUUUCAAAAGAAAUCGGUAGAAAU